rnacentral:rRNA from 1 species
AGUGAACGCUGGCGGUAGGCCUAACACAUGCAAGUCGAACGGCAGCACAGUAAGAGCUUGCUCUUACGGGUGGCGAGUGGCGGACGGGUGAGGAAUACAUCGGACUCUACUUUUUCGUGGGGGAUAACGUAGGGAAACUUACGCUAAUACCGCAUACGACCUACGGGUGAAAGCAGGGGAUCUUCGGACCUUGCGCGAUUGAAUGAGCCGAUGUCGGAUUAGCUAGUUGGCGGGGUAAAGGCCCACCAAGGCGACGAUCCGUAGCUUGUCUGAGAGGAGGAUAGGCCAUACGGGAACGGAGACAGGGUCCAGAGUCCUACGGGAGGCAGCAGUGGGGAAUAUGGGACAAUGGGCGCAAGCCUGAUCCAGCCAUACCACGUGGGUGAAGAAGGCCUUCGGGUUGUAAAGCCCGUUUGUUGGGAAAGAAAAGCAGCAGGUUAAGACCCCGCUGUUCUGACGGUACCCAAAGAAUAAGCACCGGCUAACUUCGUG